GUAAAUGGUGGCUCCUCAGCCACCCAGCCUGAGCUAGCAGCCUCCCUGUGGAACAGGACAUUCUUCUCGCCUUGGAGUGCUCAGGAUAAUAAUGGCAAGCUGUGAGAGCAUGGACGCCACUCCUGGCACCGUGCUUCUCUAAGGUUGGCGUCCUAGUGUGUGCUCCCUUUAAACUGCAGUGGGUGAUGGUGACUAGAGAGUGCUGUCCAGAGUCUCCCACAGGGAAGUGCAGGCUUGGCUCUCAGGAGCUGGAGAGUGGACACCCACACAGCAUUCCCUGCACUGAGCAGCCGCAGGUGCAACAGCGCCUCACACUGAGAAAGAGGCCCUCGGGUACUGACUGGAUUUGAACUUCCUGUUCUGAGUUUCUUGCGUCACAGGACCAAUGUAGCUGGGAGAGAAAAUGGUUGGUUCUCAUAGUGCCUUCAGAUCACCCUAGUAAGUACACACCUUCCCAUGUCAGUCCUGAGGUUGCAUUGCAGAGCUUCCUGAUACUGUGCCAACCAGUAGAAGCCAAGAGUGGGCGCUCUCGCCUGCUCUCCCACCUUCCACACCCACCAGACUUUUGCCUAAAUGGGCAGAAACUAAAGGCAUUUCUGGGGGCUGGGGAUUUAGCUCAGCGGUAGGUAGAGCGCUUACCUAGGAAGCGCAAGGCCCUGGGUUCGGUCCCCAGCUCCGAAAAAAAGAACCAAAAAA
rnacentral:lncRNA from 1 species